GUCGCAAAAACGUCCGUCGUCCACCAGCGGGCCAUCGGGCGCGUGGAUCGCCCACGCGUGAGGCACAUCCGCGAGCGCGUCGUGGAGGGCCGACGCCUUGAUCAGGUCGGCCGCCGAGAGCCACGGGUAGAGCCGCCCAAUGUCGUCGACAGACUGUGCAGCGAUCACCGGUGUUCCGGCCGCGGGCCCGGCCGGCGAUGGUGAUGACGCACCUGUUCUGGCGAGCGCCACAUGUGGCGGGGUCACCAUCGCAGCGUCGUCGUGCUCGACAAACACACCAAAGCGUAACGUGUGCGGGUCAUGGGCGUCGACGCCCAUGCGCACGCACCACGGCCGAUCGCCCACGACGACCACGGAAUAGACCCAGGCGAUAAAUGUCGCGCAUUUGCAGACGCCAUCCGACAACAGCACGCUCCGUUCAAGGCCGGUGCCCGUGGGCGCCCACUUGUAGGGCACACGUCCGUCCAGGGCCGUGGCGAUCGCUGUCAGCCGCCCUAUGCUGUCGACGUCGAGGCACGGGUAGAGGCGCGCCAAAUCCUUUCCGUCGGCUGCCGCUGUCGCCGUCGUCAUGUUCAUUGUCUGGUGUUGACUCUGGGUACGGACCGGGAGCAAGAGCGAGGAAAGAAAAGAGAGACAGGCGACUCUGUGUGUUUAAAUACGACACGCGGAUUGAAUGGCUGUCUCUAU
rnacentral:lncRNA from 1 species